GUGGGUAGUGGCUCACCUUGGUGCCAAAGAAGGCAUUGUCUUCUUCUCCACCAUUGAAUGCUCUCUUGAUGUAUCCCUUUGGUAAGCCCAAGUUCUCAUCCAUCACUUCCAUGAUCCUCUCAGCUAGUUUCUUCAGUUCUGUCCUGUACUCUGUCAUGGUUUCCCUGUCAAUAAGAGAAGUAGUGAUCAGAUUCUAGAUUAGGGAGCGGGGCAUAAAAUUGAACAUUGCUAUGGAGACGAGACUAGAUAGUCUAACACUUUAUGUUGUCAGGCUAUCAAUAUCGAACUUAUCGUUGAGAUUGAUAAUUUAACAACAUAAUAUUUGUCAGAUAUCUGGCAAGAGAACAUUUUCUCUGGAGCAUGCAGCUUACUAAUUAUAUAUAAUUUUCAUUGCUUACUUGAAUCCAGGGGUUUUCGAGGGCCAUUCAUUAUCAUCCAGGAGGGUGAAGACAUCCUCCCAGUCCACGUUCUCCAACUUUUGGCCAUUCAAUGACUUCACAAGUGCAGACUUCUUGAAUUCCUCCUCUCUUUCCAGUUUAAAGCACUCAGAGCUCAC
rnacentral:lncRNA from 1 species